GACGAACGCUGGCGGCGUGCUUAACACAUGCAAGUCGAACGGAAAGGCCCUUCGGGGUACUCGAGUGGCGAACGGGUGAGUAACACGUGGGUGAUCUGCCCUGCACUUUGGGAUAAGCCUGGGAAACUGGGUCUAAUACCGAAUAUGAUCAUCAGCUUCAUGGUUGGUGGUGGAAAGCUUUUGCGGUGUGGGAUGGGCCCGCGGCCUAUCAGCUUGUUGGUGGGGUAAUGGCCUACCAAGGCGACGACGGGUAGCCGGCCUGAGAGGGUAACCGGCCACACUGGGACUGAGAUACGGCCCAGACUCCUACGUGAGGCAGCAGUGGGGAAUAUUGCACAUUGGGCGCAAGCCUGAUGCAGCGACGCCGCGUGAGGGAUGACGGCCUUCGGGUUGUAAACCUCUUUCAGCACAGACGAAGCGCAAGUGACGGUAUGUGCAGAAGAAGGACCGGCCAACUACGUGCCAGCAGCCGCAGUAAGAC
rnacentral:rRNA from 1 species